rnacentral:tRNA from 4 species
GGCUUCUUAGUCUAAUGGUUAUGACAUCGGAUUCUGAUUCCGGGGGUCAGGGUUCGAUUCCCUGAGAGGCCU